rnacentral:ncRNA from 1 species
UAAUUCUGGGAUUAAAAGGGAAUGUAGUGAAAAUCUGCGACAGUUCCCGCUGCUGUAAAGUUCUAAAUGUAAUUUGAUCAAUCUAAAUCCACUGACUUUAUUGUUGGGAAGGAGAUUAAAUUAAGAACAAGUCAGAAGACCUGCCUCUUGUAAAA